CAUUGGGCAUAGAGGCUGCCUAAGAUUCUCUCUGCCCUCCCCUGCAAACCCCACUCGCAUGCGUGCACACAUGCUCUCCCUCCCUCCCUCUCAAAAAAAAAAAAAAAAAAGAUUAAUUGGUUCAGUAAGAAUCUGUUCUCUUUGUAAAAUGACACGGUUGGGUAAGUCCUAGGCUUGGCUUCCUAGCCUCAAGCUUUUUUAAAGUCCCAUCUGAGAUUCCUUAUCAAAAGUCCCAGCAAACCAGUCAGUCCCUAUUCUUGCUUGCUGCACUUGGGUAGCUAAUUAGGUCAACUGUAUUGAAACUGGAUUUACUUUGCAAACAAAUUAGUCUAUUGUCAUUAUCUCUGAUCAUAAUGGGAGCAAUGAGAAAAACUACCUUUCUGGAUACCUGGAUGGCUCAGUCAGUUAAGUGUCUGCCCAGGGUCCUGGGAUCGAGUCUGGAGUCAGGCUCCUUGCUCAGAGGGGAGCCUGCUGCUCCCUCUGCUUGUGCUUGCUCUCUAACAAAUGUAUAAAUAAAUAAAAUCUCUUUUUAAAAUUUGCCUUUCAGUAAGAUUCUAGUGCUGUUGUCUUUGAGGUUUAUUUUCUACCUGUAACUAGACUAGAUUCUGCAUUCUUCUGGUUUGUUCCAGUAUCUGGCUAGAACUCCCAAAACGAACACAUCCAGUUUUCUCCCACUCUUUUGACUUAGAAAUACUAUAAAACUAAAACUGCCGUUUUCCCCCAGAGCCAUGCAAGCUUAAAGCUGCACAGUUUGAUACAAACUUCAGAGAAAUCCUCACCACAGCUCAGCUGUCUCACUCACGUCCACACUGCAAACCAGGAAAACCUGUCCGACUCUCAUUGCUUGCCCCCACUCCAUCCGAACCCAACACUAGAAAUUUUCUCAACUGACAGCUCUGCAGUUUGCUGGAACUAUUUAUCUUUUGUUGCCGCUGAAAUGCAGCUUGUUAAACUACUUGUUGGCUCACAUUAUACAGAGACCUAAUUUAGGUGAAAGCUCAGCUGAAUCAGGGCAGGACGGAUAUGAGGGUGUUUCAAGAAAUCGUGAGGCCAUGGAUGCUAAUACAUCAUGUUGUGCCUGUAUAUCCAUCAUAUUCACCUCUCCGAUGCGUUCUCUGCUCUUGAGGGAUUUCAGUGCCUGGCACAGCCGCCGACAUACCAUGACCAGACAACGGGAUGAACGCAGCGGUAACCACAGGUACAGUGAAGAUGGGGACUGCACGGCGCUCCGGUCUGACAACUCAACUGGAUGAAAACUCUGAACACAUGAUUCUGUGGCGUGACUCAAACGGUGGUAACUGAGAACAACACUGUACUGGUUAAUAGUACUCUCAGCCUGCCAAGGAAGUGACCAAAAGGGGGCAGUUAUUAAAAACAAAUGGAGAACAAACAACCUUAAAAACUUCUUGGGCCGACAAAACCAGUUUAGUCAUACGCACUGAACUUACUUAGCAAGAUUAACCUGACCUGGGUCAUUUCUUGCUUACGAUUCCAAAAUUCAUAAGCAAAACUUGAAAUGUUUCCCUAAGUUGAUAAGAGGUGACCACUGACCACUUCCCUGUUAAUCACUGGGAAGAAUAAACAGUCAUGCUUUCCCACUACAAAGCUCUUUGAUAAUACACCCUUGAGCCUCAUUCCGUGGUUUGAAUGCUCCCAGUAUAUGCACAAUAAACUUUUACUAAUUACUA